UUUUUGGCACAGGGGAGAGCUUGCAGGUUUCUUUAUCUCUGAAGUGCAGAUUCUAAAAUCACCUGGUCUGCAGCCAGUUUUAGCAAAGCAUUAAGUCUUGAUAGCGUGUGUGCAUACAUCAACACCCACGAAUGAGAGAACUGUCAGGAUGAACUCUUCUUUAGGACAUGAACAAUUUAAGCAGAUAUUUGGCUAAACGGAAAACAAACAUUUCAAAAAAAGGCAACCUAAAAAUAAGAUCCUAAUCUUCAAAAAUAAGUUCUUACAAACAAAAUAACAUCACAUAAAGCAUUACAUACAGCUUUAAUACAUAAAUUAUUAUUAAAACACAACUGAA
rnacentral:lncRNA from 1 species